GGGUUGUGAGGUUAAGCGACUAAGCGUACACGGUGGAUGCCCUGGCAGUCAGAGGCGAUGAAGGACGUGCUAAUCUGCGAUAAGCGCCGGUAAGGUGAUAUGAACCGUUAUAACCGGCGAUUUCCGAAUGGGGAAACCCAGUGUGAUUCGUCACACUAUCAUUAACUGAAUCCAUAGGUUAAUGAGGCGAACCGGGGGAACUGAAACAUCUAAGUACCCCGAGGAAAAGAAAUCAACCGAGAUUCCCCCAGUAGCGGCGAGCGAACGGGGAGGAGCCCAGAGCCUGAAUCAGCAUGUGUGUUAGUGGAAGCGUCUGGAAAGGCGCGCGAUACAGGGUGACAGCCCCGUACACAAAAGCGCAUGUGCUGUGAGCUCGAUGAGUAGGGCGGGACACGUGGUAUCCUGUCUGAAUAUGGGGGGACCAUCCUCCAAGGCUAAAUACUCCUGACUGACCGAUAGUGAACCAGUACCGUGAGGGAAAGGCGAAAAGAACCCCGGCGAGGGGAGUGAAAAAGAACCUGAAACCGUGUACGUACAAGCAGUGGGAGCACAGGUUUACCUGUGUGACUGCGUACCUUUUGUAUAAUGGGUCAGCGACUUAUAUUCUGUAGCAAGGUUAACCGUAUAGGGGAGCCGGAGGGAAACCGAGUCUUAAUUGGGCGUUAAGUUGCAGGGUAUAGACCCGAAACCCGGUGAUCUAGCCAUGGGCAGGUUGAAGGUUGGGUAACACUAACUGGAGGACCGAACCGACUAAUGUUGAAAAAUUAGCGGAUGACCUGUGGCUGGGGGUGAAAGGCCAAUCAAACCGGGAGAUAGCUGGUUCUCCCCGAAAGCUAUUUAGGUAGCGCCUCGUGAAUUCAUCUCCGGGGGUAGAGCACUGUUUCGGCUAGGGGGCCAUCCCGGCUUACCAACCCGAUGCAAACUGCGAAUACCGGAGAAUGUUAUCACGGGAGACACACGGCGGGUGCUAACGUCCGUCGUGAAGAGGGAAACAACCCAGACCGCCAGCUAAGGUCCCAAAGUCAUGGUUAAGUGGGAAACGAUGUGGGAAGGCCCAGACAGCCAGGAUGUUGGCUUAGAAGCAGCCAUCAUUUAAAGAAAGCGUAAUAGCUCACUGGUCGAGUCGGCCUGCGCGGAAGAUGUAACGGGGCUAAACCAUGCACCGAAGCUGCGGCAGCGAACGUAUCACCCAAGACAACUUUACGGAGUUGACGAUUGACGGAGCGAAGCGACGUCAAAGCGUUCAUUAAAGUCGAGUUGGCUUAGGGAUACGUUCGUUGGGUAGGGGAGCGUUCUGUAAGCCUGUGAAGGUGUGUCGUGAGGCAUGCUGGAGGUAUCAGAAGUGCGAAUGCUGACA
rnacentral:rRNA from 1 species